rnacentral:tRNA from 1 species
GCCUGAAUAGCUCAGUUGGCAGAGCAGCGCAUUCGUAAUGCGAAGGUCGUCGGUUCGACUCCGGCUUUGGGCA